rnacentral:tRNA from 1 species
GGAUUGGUAGCUCAGUUGGUUAGAGCGUCUGACUGUUAAUCAGAACGUCGCAGGUUCGAGUCCUGCCCAGUCCG